AUUGAACGCUGGCGGCAGGCUUAACACAUGCAAGUCGAACGAGUGGCGGACGGGUGAGUAAUGCUUGGGAAUCUAGCUUAUGGAGGGGGAUAACUACGGGAAACUGUAGCUAAUACCGCGUACCAUAGGAUGAGCCCAAGUGGGAUUAGGGAGUUGGUGAGGUAAAGGCUCACCAAGCCGACGAUCUAUAGCUGGUCUGAGAGGAUGACCAGCCACACGGGGAGUGAGACACGGCCCAGACUACUACGGGAGGCAGAAGUGGGGAAUAGUGCGCAAUGGGGGCAACCUGACGCAGCCAUGCCGCGUGUGUGAAGAAGGUCUUCGGAUUGUAAAGCACUUUAAGUUGGGAGGCGUUACCAACAGAAUAAGCACCGGCUAACUUCGUGCCAGCAGCCGCGGUAAUAC
rnacentral:rRNA from 1 species